rnacentral:rRNA from 1 species
UACGUAGGUGGCAAGCGUUGUCCGGAAUUACUGGGUGUAAAGGGAGCGUAGGCGGGGAGACAAGUUGAAUGUUUAAACUAUCGGCUCAACCGAUAAUCGCGUUCAAAACUGUCGAUCUUGAGUGAAGUAGAGGCAAGCGGAAUUCCUAGUGUAGCGGUGAAAUGCGUAGAUAUUAGGAGGAACACCAGUGGCGAAGGCGGCUUGCUGGGCUUUAACUGACGCUGAGGCUCGAAAGCGUGGGUAGC